AUACGAAGGGGGCAAGCGUUGUUCGGAAUAACUGGGCGUAAAGCGCACGUAGGCGGAAUGUUAAGUUAGAGGUGAAAUCCCAGGGCUCAACCCUGGAACGGCCUUUAAUACUGGCAAUCUAGAGACGGAGAGAGGUGAGUGGAAUUCCGAGUGUAGAGGUGAAAUUCGUAGAUAUUCGGAGGAACACCAGUGGCGAAGGCGGCUCACUGGCUCGGUACUGACGCUGAGGUGCGAAAGCGUGGGGAGCAAAUCGGAUUAGAUACCCGAGUAGUCC
rnacentral:rRNA from 1 species